UAGUACCAAUGCACCUAAUGUCACCAAUAGGAACCAUGUUUUGUGGCUUUUCACAUAGGUCCAAGCAAUCCUGUAAAUCCUGACAUUGCAUAAUUUCAGUUUCAUGUGAAUUCCAUGUAAACCACAAAUAUUUUCCCUUAUCCUGUAGGAACACUCCAUUCUCAUCAUAUAAUCACCCUGUUUCAAGGACUCAAUCAAUGAAUCCUGACUGGGAUGCCUACUGUAUUCUUCAGCCUCCUCAAUGCCACAGUUUCCAGCAGCUCUUGAUUGCAGGGUUAGACUGUUUGGGAGACACGGAGAUGGGGUGACAGAAAAUAGCACCUGGAGCUUCCCCCAGCAAAGGUGGAAGAAAAGCUUCUUACGUGAGACCUUCAGGCCCAGGCCCUGAAAACUGAGAACCCCUGAGGAGAAAUUCUAGACUACAGGCCCAGGACUGCACAAGGGCUCAUUCUGCCUCUCUACUAUCCUGGCUUUGCCCGCUGGACCCCUCUUGGUGCUGUAGUGGCUGCCAUAGGCAUCCAUGCCACAAAGCCAGAAUUUCAAGCCAGGGCAGGAGCAAGGGGAGGGGGAGAUUCUCAGGAUUGGGCAGCAGAGGGAGGGUGAGUCCAGAGCCUGAACAGUUUGGGAAGGCUUGGUUUCACAAGCCCUGACCCUCAGACAGCUUAUCACUUGCAUCAAACAAGGGCAAUAAACUGUGCCCCUCUCUUCUGGGUGAACUCCUGGAAUCCCCUCAUCCUCUUUGCCCAACUCAGCUCAUACCCACACAUAUUCACCACUCCCAUUACUCUUGAGAACAAGACUGUCCACAGAAUUCAGAGCACACCAAUACCAUUGGCUUCCCAAACUCUUAAAUUCAGAGCCCACCUCAAUUACUUAUCCAAUGGUAGGUGUGGGUACAAAAGAGAAAUAGGAUGAAGAUAAAAAGAAAACUGGCACACAAAAGGCCUGCCAAGAACUUCAGACACUUGCCAACAAUGAGCUCCUAACUCCCAGGGAACCAGUGUGUCCAAGGAAAUAGGUGCUCAUAAUAUCUAAGACAUUUUGGAGGGAAAUGAGACAGAGCAUCUUGUACCACAGUUAGAGGUGGAAACAUGU